CAGACUGGCGGACCUUUUUUUUUUAGGGUCCACUAUUUUUCGGGACGGGCUGUACUCCGGUUCCCGGGACAGACACAGAAAUCGGACCCACGCGGAUUAGUAAAUAUAGUGUUACAAAUCUGACAUUGUCACCAAGGUAUUGAUGUCUCGGUAUUAAAUUUGUCACUAUACCGAUUGGUAUUAAAACUACACUGGUCCCUAAAAAUUAGCUAACGAUUUAGUUACUUCUCAGCUAUUACAAUGAAUACCGCUUGGUGUUAUUUUAGUACUAGGUUUCUAAGAGUGUGGGCAUCCAUGAAAUUCAAAUUUCCCGACAUAGUGCACUAUAAAUUUUAUGUAGCCCGUAGUGAACACUUCUCGAUACCACAAUGUGAGAAUUUGCAAUUUAAUAGGGCUCUUAAAAAAUGGCACACAUUUAACCCACCUGUGAAUAGUGCCGGCCCGAAUGGACCGAUACGGACAAGAUUACAAUUAUCUACAUUGCCAAAAUAGUUCAUCAGGUUCCACAAAGCCGCCAGCACACUUUUCAUACAUUCCGACGCCUACAUUGUACAUGUAGGAAAUUUAGUAUAUGCUUAUGUGUGUAGGUAAUUUUUCAUAUGUUUUAGAUUCAUUUUUUCCUUGAAACGUAAUGACCCAAUUAUCUAGGGUAUUUUCAUUGUAUGAAAUAAAUAAAUAUGUAAAUAAAUAUGUAAAUAAGUUAAUAAAUAAAUAACAUAACAUUAAUCAGACCAUAGCUCGCAAUGGACCAUGGUCCACUGGACCAAAUUGGUCCAUGAUGGACCAUGGACCAUGGACCACAAAAAAAUUGGUCCAUCGAUGGACCAUGGACCAUGGACCAUUUUUUAGGUGGUCCAUCGAUGGACCAUGGACCAUGGACCAAUUCUCAGAUGGUCCAUCGAUGGACCAUGGACCAUGGACCAAUUCUCAGAUGGUCCAUCGAUGGACCAUGGACCAUGGACCAUUUUUCAAGUGGUCCAUCGAUGGACCAUCGACCAUUAUUGCUUUCAUGAAAUAAGAACCAAAGUGAGAAGUGGUGGUGGUUUCGUUCCCGGCAAAUUCAGUAUUUGGGUUUGAAAAGCCAAAAACAAACUCGCAAAUCACACAUUCACUUGCCUCCCUUGCAAAUGUAAAACAUAUAUAAUUUACAGUUCAAGAAAGCUCACAGGGGCCCACUGCAAUGGAUUCGUCGAAAACCCGGAUGCGACCACAAGAGACCAAUACGGAUUUUCGUAGAACGGUUUUGAAAACGAAUCUACAACUGACACCGCUCCCUCCCCCGGACUACGCGUACCAAAUCACACAAGGAAUUGAGUCAUUGACGCUAGGUCCAAUUCCCGAGUUUAGGGAAUUUUCGACGAAUAUGGUCACGUGGGUGAAAGAUGGAAUUGAGAUGUAUCAAACCAUGAAUAAUCUUGGAUUGGGAAAUUUACCAGUCCUAGCAGUGGACUUUGAGUACCAUAUUGAAGAAAGUUAUGAUGGAUUUCUUGCGGUCGGGUCCUUAGCCUCACCGGAAACAACAUUAGUGUUUGAUUGUCUUACCGAUCGACGGAAGAAUUCACCCACAAUGCGAGACAUCAUUUCAAAUUUAAUGGAAAGUGAAGAAAGUCUCAAAGUUAUGUGUGGCUGCCAAAAUGACAUCCUGAGACUGAAAAAGGACUAUAAUUGCUUUCCGCGAUUGGUGCUGGAUAUUCAGGACCUUUUCAUCAUAUGGAGGAAUGCAGAUAUAAAUAAUUGCUUCCAGACUUGCCUCCCCGCAUUAAAAACUCUGGCAUCAGAGAGGGGCUAGAAUUCUUCCACAUCCGCGCUAAAGGAAUUUUUCAACAAGUAUGAUGCACCUGGACUCGCAUUUAUGAUGAAUGUCUUUAACUUUCGGGACAAGAAAAUGACAAACACAGAUUGGAGAAUUAGGGAUUUGACCCAACGGCAGCAAGCAUACGCAGCAAAAGAUGCCUAUUAUACAUUAAGAAUAUUUUACUCGUUGUAUGAUAAAUUGGGACUGGAUGGCGUUAAGAAAGCAGUGCUUAUCUCAUCCAAAAAGUUGAUCGUCAAUCCCUCACUGCGGAAGUUUGACGUAAAGAAGCCAUUGUCACACGAUGCAAUAACCGAUGCGAUUAUUGAUUGGAGAAAGCACUUGGCAUUAAAUCUUGACUGGCAACCCGAGCAAAUACUUCCGUUUGCUCAGAUUACAAAUCUCUCUGUUUGGCUAGGCAAGCAAGAGUUGACAGAAGUGGGGGCUGACAUCGUGCAAAGCAAAGUUGUAGCACUAGGAAUGAAAGCAAAUUAUAAAUCAGCAGACGCAAGGCUACUGCAGUUCCUGAAUCCAACUGAGAAAGACAAAAUGAAUACAAUCCAGUGUCGAAAUUGUGGAGAAAUUGGACACAUUGGAUUAAGUUGCCCGUUUUCACCAGAUAAAGAAAAGCUUAAGUAGGCCCGGACCCUUCCACAGAACAAAGCAAAUCACGAAGAAAGAAAUCGACAGAAAGCUUUGAAAUUUGGGCAAAACUAUGGUAUGACUGCUGAUGAGGUAUAUAAAUUGUGGGGAGAGCAAAAGAAAGCUAACCAAAAGGCAAAGGAAACUAAGAAAUUUCCUCAAGAUUAUCGGAUGGAUUCCUCAUCUACACUUUCCCCACCAGCGUAUCCCGAACCAAAGCAUAGCAAGGCAACUGUUAAGUCAUCAUUAGCUCCGUUAGCUGGCAUAAGACCAGGUGGCAUGUCUGAUAGCGACAGCAGUGAUGAUGAUUUCUUAAAAAAACCGACGACAUCAUGGAAAAAGCGUCGUUAGUUUUUGAAAGAGCUUUUUAUUCCUAGCCCGGGCUAGGAAUAACUUUCACUUUCACUGAAUUUAUAAAUUAGCUUCCGUUCUUUGUAAUGUAAUAUAUGAAAGUAUAUGUUAUAUAUUCUUGGGCUUUACAACAUUAAAUGAUUACAUCCAGCUUUAUUCUAAUUUGUGCAUGUAUAUUUUUUCAUACCUGGAUUCAUAUUAAUGAAGUCACAUGAAUUAAUCAUAUACAUAAUAUUCUCUCUCAUUAUUAUAAGAUUCUCAUUUUGAAUUAUAUUGUCUCAAUGUAUCCUUGAAAAUGUAUCACUCUUCCCAGUCCGGACUGGUGGGAUCAUUUGGUUUACAGGGGAGCGGAAUAUUUAUAUACCACACCAAUCCCACGCUGUCCACGCUUCUGCCAUUUGCACGAGCUCCUCUAGAUGGGCUGGGCUCCAGGUUCGCUCGUAUUAGACUUUUAUCUGACUUUAUUCCUGUUUUGAUAACCAUGGCUGAGUUAAAACAACCUAAAAUAUCAUUUGGAGAGGAUGCCGCCCCCAAAAGUCCAGAAAUACGACAUCCGAAAUGGGCAUCGUUACUAUUACCAUAUUUUGAAUUUAUUGAGAAGCAGUUUAAAAAAUCAGGACAGCGCAGUCGACUCUGGUAUAAGCUGCGAUGUAGAUCGUGCAGUACUAUUUACAGUGAUAAAGGUGCUAAUGCAUUUGCCGAUCAUUUAAAGAAGCAUAAGCAAGUUAACGAAAAUUAUCAGAAGGAUAUCAACGAAGCGAAAGCCCUUGAACAGGCAUCUACCAAGAAAUCCUCCGUUCGUGCUAGCAUCUUACCAAAACCGAAGUUCGUACAAGCGGUGGAGAAGUAUCCCCGUAAUGAUACGAAGCAAAUUAAAUUUAAAGAAAGUGUUUUGGAAUUCGUGGUGCGCGAUACGGCUGCAUUUUCAAUGGUUGAAGGAAAAGGCUUUCGAAAUAUGAUUUAUACCGCCGACCCGAAGCUAACCGUUCCAUGCUCCACCACAGUUCGGA